CAAUCGAAAGCUGACCGUGGAAUCCAAGGGCCUAUCUCUGGACCAAUCCUAACUAAACACGUUUCCACUUGGAUCCAGUGGUCCCGCCAGGGAAUCCUCCGCUUCCCUCCGCACAGCGAGAUCUAGGGUUAGGGUUCCCUAUAUGGACGACCAAAAUCUAUCGCUCUAUUCCUUGUCAGCAUUGUAACUUAAGCUUUUGGAUGGAUCUAUUUGAUAGGAUUUUGCCAAAUGCAAAGAGUACACGUGUUGGCUGUAAAUGAUUUUCUAGUGAACAGUACAACCUGUUGUCGGUGAACAAGCAUGAAAUAUGUUUGGUGGGCUAUGUCGACCUCAUAGGCUUGUUGGAAUCACCAAAUUUUUGGACAUUAUUAUUUGGAAAUGGUAGGCAACUGGUGCUGAAAAUGGAUUUUAUGUUGAUUGAGUGUGUAUUUUUUUCAUUUAAUGAUGGCUGAAUUCAUCCUUACUAGAUUUAUGGAUGACUUAUCUUGGAGUUUUGUAUGAUGUUUUACAUGAUGAAUAAUGAUAUGAUGUCAUACUAUUCAACAACUUUACCUGUGGAAACCAUGUUUUAGGCUUUAGGCCAUUUUGGUCAGUAACGGAAGCAUGGUAGGCUGGUAUACCUCCUAUGCUUAAAUGUUUUAGACAUGGGGCUUUUUAAAAAAAAAAAAAAAUUCUGUGCUGUAAUUGUCAUGUUCUUUCUUCAAUGUUGUGACACUUUGUAAGGUCGCUAUAUGAAAUUAUUCCAUGGAAUUUAAUGACAGGAUUAAUUUGACUUAUCCCAUAAAAAGUUGAUGACCUUAUCACUUUGUUAGAUUGUAGAAUAUAAAGACUAAGGUAUGGGCAGAGAGGUAUAAGAAUUUGGAAUCUAUUAUUUUGAGUUAGUGGGAUGCUUUCCCAAAGGUUGUUUUAGCAUAGGCAGUUUUUCAACUUAUUGAUGAUUUUGUAUUUACAUACAAGUGGAGGAGACUAUGUAGCUUUUAUAUCAACCAUUAUGAAAAAAAUUAUAUGUCGAAGGGAUGAGUGCCCUUAAUAAAUGAUGGAGAGAAUGGAUACUGGAAAUUAGUUGAUUAGGUGGUUAAGAAGCUGCAGUAUAUUGCUAGUUAUUUGAAAAUAACUUUUUUGCCUUUUUUUUUUUGAGUUUUUUGAAGUGGCUAAGCCGAGUGCACAUUCUUUCCUCAUUCAUUUCUAGAAUUGUUAUCCAGAUGCUAGCAACUUGUGUUGGAAAAUUGAUUUGGCCAAUUUACUAGAGGAUUUAAUAUGGGUAUUGGUUGCUUUGUAGUUUUGGCAUUCAGAUAUUCAACGUGAUUUAUUUGGACGAACAAUUUAGUCUGACUAUUAUUUGCUUUUGUGAGGAUGGUAAAGCUGAAGGUCAGUCACUUGAGUGUUUUAUUAUUAAUUUAAAUUGAAAUGGUUUAUUUGAGUUGUCUGUGAAAAAUUAUUUGAUGGGCCAUGUCUACAUAGCAUCGUGUUAAGUAUCUGAAUUCUCUUUUUUGGGUCUGCAAAACACCAAAAGGCAUGAAAGUUGGUGGCAUUGGUGAAAUUUAGGUCAGAUUAAAUUUAGAUUCAAAGUUGAUUCAAGAAGUAUUAUUGGCUUUUUUGUAUAUAUUUUAAUAGGGAACUGAUGAUUUGGUUUCUGGUCCUUGUUAUAGACCCUUUCAACAACAGUAUGGUGUGAUAUUUCCAUCUACUUCCGCAGAGCCAGGUUCCAUCCUGGCUGACCUUGCCUCUCACUUUCUUGUUAAUGAGUUUCUUUGUCAGUCAGCCCCCAAGUGAUUCCGGCUUUUUUGAUUCCAGAAUCCCUAAUCGUAAACCAGUGAGGUGGGGUGGAGUCGUGCCGUGGGUCAACCUGUGGUGCGUUCCCUACUUCGACGGACCGCACUUCAACCAACAGAAAGGGCCCGUCUUCUAUUUUUAGAAGUCAUUUUAGCAUUCUAAAUUCUUUUCUUUCGCUACAGCACUCAAACAUAGAUCGAAGAUCUUAAGUUCUUCGGUCGGCAGCCGCAGUUAGUAAUAGCAAGCAGCAGUCUGUCCCAUUCCUUUGAAUUGAAUGUUCAUUCUUUAAUGUCACAAACAAGACUCAUACUUAAGACUUUGAACUUGUUGAGUCAGGGGCUGUAAUCCGCAGCUUUAGAGAUAGGGGCGGCAGUCACAGCAUUGGGAGCAGUGAGCAGAGUGGAUAAGUUGGUUGAAGAUUAGGAGAGUAACAUAGAUGAUACCAUUGACAGAUGCCAUAUACCGAACAAAAUUGUCAAGAAAGCAUUCAAGUUGGGGGAGUCAGACAAGUCCUAGUGUAAGAAGACCAUGGUGAUGCCGAUGCAGGCCCUGACUCUGCAUCGGUCAUCAUUCUUUAUGGUGGUGUGGGUAGACCAUGCAAACUUAUUGCAAUGGCUUCCAGGGUAUUAGGGGUGGGGAGGGAAGGAAGGGGUUUAGGAUUUGAGAGAAAGAUGGAAGAGAUGAGAGUUAGACAUGUUCAGGAUUUUCUGUGUAGGAAUGGGAUAGGUACAAGCAUGUAGUGGGCCUUCUUCACAGCCCCGCACCCCCACUUUUUCCCUUCUUCCCUCAUUUGUCUUGUCAUAGCCCCUCCUGAAUCAGGCAGUCUCCUGUUAUUUUCUUAUUACAUCAACCUAAGUUUCACUGAACCCUGAGUGGAGUGCCAUUUUUAUUGAAGAUCACUCUGGUUUUUCUCUGAAUCAUGGAAGUGCAUUUUCUUUAAUUUCUUGUAGUAAAGCAAGAUACAAGCACAUACUGUUCUUUGUAGCAUUUAGCAUCAUUUUGUAUUAGUUCUUCCUAGCUGUUUUCGCUUUUUAAAUAGCAAUGGAAACUGCCUCCUCUCUUGCUAGCUAAUUGCUGGCUAGAAUCCACUACCUUGCUCAUUCCUUUCCUCGUCUGUAAGGUCCCAAAAGGAGCCAGAAAGCUCAAUAAUGCAGACGUUAGCUUAAAUGUGUUCCUCGUGAUUCUCAAGUUUUGGAAGUUUGAAAUCUAUGGGGUUCUGUCAAUUAAGUGCUUGGCGUCACUACAUUUGCCUUGAGUCAUGGAACCAUUCACUGCCUUCUAACAUGUGAUGAUAGUCUGACCACUGCUUCUAUAGGAUUUUAAAUUUCUGUAAACUUCCAAGCAUUUUCUAUUGUUUCUUCUUAGUUCGCAUAUCCCCACCCCACCACCAACACCCAAAAAAACAAAAAGGAAAAAACACCAUGACCACCCUUCUUUGGGUCGGUUGGGGGUGAGUUCAGAUUGGAUAUGUAUAAGGAUGGUCAUGGUGGUCAUGGUGUUUUUAAAGUGGAUUGGAGGCUGAAGAAAUUAGGAGGGAAUUAUUGCAAUAGGUUUUUAAUAUACUUUUGUUUUGGAGGGACCCAACUCUGGACGGGAGCAGGUGGCCUACUGCAAGUUGCAGCUUUUAUAUGCAUGGUGUCCCGUCCUUUGUUGUUUUUUUUUUUUUUUUUGGUUCAUUUUUUGGAUAAUUUAUAAUAAAAUAAGCUAGAGUAGUCCAGUUGCUGGAAACCACAAGGUGAAAGAGAAGGUUCACCCCUUCUCUUGCGGAAAUAGACUUUUUCAUAUUGUAGUCUGAUGUAGUAUGAUAGAUUAUAUUGUUGCAUUCUGGUUGUAAUAUAGCUUACAUAUCCCAUAUCACUGAAACAUGAUCGAAAGAUUGAGUUGUUCUAUAAUCAUAUUUUUCUUCACCAUUCACUGUCAGCUUUGCUUAGCAUAUUUCUUUUGUAGUCUAGGGAAGAUGGUUAUCAGGCUCGCAUACUUGCCCAUGUUAACUUUAUGUGUAAGCAUUAUUUACAUUGCACGUGAUCUUGUUAACCAUGUAAACAAUGUACAGCAGGAACAGGAUGUCAGCUUUGUUCGUUGCUUUGGGCUGCAAUCGUGAGCCCUUUAUCAAGCUAUCGUUUGCACUUAAAAUAUAUUCUGAUUAUAUCCAAUUGAAAUAGUAUGGGAUUUCUUUUUCUUUCAGUAAGUCAUUAGAGUUGUCUUCCUGUAUUACAUGGUGCCCCACAAGAUUUUUUUGUUUAGCUUGCAAUGCAUGGCUUAUUAAGGUAGACUUGUUUAAUUUAUCAAGAGGAGGGAACGCUAGUGCGUCUUGCCGGUCCGUCUGGUAGCUGGAUCAUUAACAUCCAUCCAAGGUAUGGUACGAGUGCUGGCGUUUGAGACAGUAUUUCAUAUUAAAUCUUUGUAUGUGUCCUACUCAGCUAUUCUAUGUUUAUUGAGUGCAAAUCUUGAUUCUGUGAGCUGAGUUAGUCUCUGUCAAUUUGAGCUGGCGGUAGUUUCGAAUAUGCUACUCUGUUGAUGUAAAAUAAAUUCACUGCCUUGGAACGUGAUCUGAUUGAUGCUGUCCUAGUAGGAAGUUUUAAGCUAGCAGCUUUGCAAGACUGUACCAAUGAAUUCAUAUAUAUUAUCAUAUGGCAAAAGCAGUCUUUUGUCAAAUUAUUAUUAU